GACGAACGCUGGCGGCGUGCUUAACACAUGCAAGUCGAGCGGUAAGGCCCUUUCGGGGGUACACGAGCGGCGAACGGGUGAGUAACACGUGGGUGACCUGCCCUCAGCUCUGGGAUAAGCCCGGGAAACUGGGUCUAAUACCGGAUAUGACUCCAUGACGCAUGUUGUGGGGUGGAAAGCCUUGUGCGGCUGAGGAUGGGCCCGCGGCCUAUCAGCUUGUUGGUGGGGUGAUGGCCACCAAGGCGACGACGGGUAGCCGGCCUGAGAGGGCGACCGGCCACACUGGGACUGAGAUACGGCCCAGACUCCUACGGGAGGCAGCAGUGGGGAUCUUGCGCAAUGGGCGAAAGCGUGACGCAGCGACGCCGCGUGGGGAGUGAAGG
rnacentral:rRNA from 1 species